rnacentral:rRNA from 1 species
GAUGAACGCUAGCGGCAGGCCUAACACAUGCAAGUCGAGGGAGAAGCCCUUCGGGGCAGAAACCGGCGCACGGGUGCGUAACGCGUAUGCAACCUACCUUUCACAGGGGGAUAGCCCGAAGAAAUUUGGAUUAAUACCCCAUAAUAUUAUUGGAUGGCAUCAUUUGAUAAUUAAAAUUACGAUGGUGAAAGAUGGGCAUGCGUCCUAUUAGCUAGUUGGAGUGGUAACGGCACCCCAAGGCUACGAUAGGUAGGGGUCCUGAGAGGGAGAUCCCCCACACUGGUACUGAGACAGGGACCAGACUCCUACGGGAGGCAGCAGUGAGGAAUAUUGGUCAAUGGUCGGAAGACUGAACCAGCCAUGCCGCGUGCAGGAAGAAUGCCUUAUGGGUUGUAAACUGCUUUUAUAUGGGAAGAAUAAGGAGUACGUGUACUUNGANGGCGGUNCCA